CCCCCUAUCGGGGGGAGUGGCAGACGGGUGAGUAACGCGUGGGAACAUACCUUUCGGUUCGGAAUAGCCCCGGGAAACUGGGUGUAAUACCGGAUACGUCCUUAGGGAGAAAGAUUUAUCGCCGAAAGAUUGGCCCGCGUUAGAUUAGGUAGUUGGUGAGGUAAAGGCUCACCAAGCCUACGAUCUAUAGCUGGUCUGAGAGGAUGAUCAGCCACACUGGGACUGAGACACGGCCCAGACUCCUACGGGAGGCAGCAGUGAGGAAUCUUGGACAAUGGGCGAAAGCCUGAUCCAGCCAUGCCGCGUGAAUGAUGAAGGCCUUAGGGUUGUAAAAUUCUUUCAGCAGGGAAGAUAAUGACGGUACCUGCAGAAGAAGCGCCGGCUAACUCCGUGCCAGCAGCCGCGGUAAUACGGAGGGUGCGAGCGUUAA
rnacentral:rRNA from 1 species